AAAGGAAUAGACGGGGAUCCGCACAAGUGGUGGAGCAUGUGGUUUAAUUCGAUGAUAAGCGAGAAACCUCACCAGGGCUAGAAACUUAGCUGCAUGUUGUAGAAAUACAACAGCCUUCGAGGGUGCUAAGCAGGUGAUGCAUGGUCGUCGUCAGCUCGUGCCGUAAGGUGUUCCUUUAAGUAGGGAAACGAGCGCAACCCUUGUCGCGUGUUAUAUAUGUCACGCGAAACUGCCCAGCCUUGAACAUAGGAAAAAAACUUUCGUAUGGUCAAGGCUGGGAGGAAGGAGAGGAUGACGUCAGAUCAGCAUGUCCCUUGACGCCCUGGGCGACACACGUGCUACAAUGGCUGGGAUAAAGGGUAGCCAAAUCGCGAGAUGGAGCCAAUCCCAAAAACUCAGUCUCAGUUCGGAUUGGAGUCUGCAACUCGACUCCAUGAAGCCGGAAUCACUAGUAAUCGUGAAUCAGAACGUCACGGUGAAUACGUUCUCGGAUCUUGUACACACCGCCCGU
rnacentral:rRNA from 1 species